ensembl:misc_RNA Gm24015 predicted gene, 24015
AGGGCCCCAUGGGUGUUCCUCUGGAAUAUGCACAUUCUUUGGAAGAAGAUUACCUUCCCCAAUAGAGAAAGACUGUUCUUUCAUUGAGGGUAUAGAAGGAGUUACCAGACCCUACUAGAACCUCCUCCAAGCAAUCUCUUGAAGUCUUUUUUUUUUUAGGAGAAAGUGGGUAGUUAAGGCUCCAGGCACAGACAAAUGAGAUGUUACAUCAAGCAAUCUGACUGUCUUG